GGGUCAAUGAUGAGAACUCACAUUGUCUUGAAGAGAGGUGAUGACUCAAACAUAAUCCUCAGAAUCAGUCUGAGGCCC